UGCCAGCAGCCGCGGUAAUACGGAGGGUGCAAGCGUUGUUCGGAAUUAUUGGGCGUAAAGCGCGUGUAGGCGGUUCGUUAAGUCUGAUGUGAAAGCCCGGGGCUCAACCCCGGAAGUGCAUUUGAAACUGGAUGGCUUGAGUACUGGAGGGGGUGGUGGAAUUCCCGGUGUAGAGGUGAAAUUCGUAGAUAUCGGGAGGAAUACCGGUGGCGAAGGCGACCACCUGGCCAGAUACUGACGCUGAGACGCGAAAGCGUGGGGAGCAAACAGGAUUAGAUA
rnacentral:rRNA from 1 species